ACGCAUUAUUUAAUACAUUACUCUCUCCACACAGCGAAUAUAACCAGAAGCAAAAGAGAGAGAGAGAGAGAAUCUAGAGCAAGAGAGAGAAGGAGAGGAAGAGGAAGAGGAGCUGGGGUCAUACUCACCGUCUUCUUCUUAUCAAAUUCAUACCUAGCUCAUAAUUGCUUUUGCAUAUGGAGUAAUUAAGGCGUAGAAUUUCGUUUUGUUUACUCAUUGAUUUUGUUUUCAUGGGUAACAAAGGAAGGGUUUCUUUCCAGCUGGUCAAAUUGGAGAAUUCCAACAACAUGUUGGAGGGUCCUUCCUAUCUUGUGUCUAGGGAGUUGCCGAGCUCAUGCGAGCAGGAGAGCAAAUGGAUUUACAAUACUCACCGUGUUAUGGAGCUCUCAAACAAUAAGCGCCCCCUUGCAGACGGGGAAGAACUCACAUUGAGGAAGGCAUGCAAGCUAUCAGAUGCCGUUCUAGGAGGUGAAGCAGUUAUGGAUCUUAAUGGCCUUUCUCUCUCCCCUGCCAAGGACCAGUCAAAUGACCAGCAUCAUGAAGGUGGAAAUUCUGAUUCAAGUUCACUAAUCAGCCAACUUGGUCGGGAUAACUCAAUAAGCUGUCUCCUUCGCUGCUCGAGGUCUGAUUAUGGCUCAAUUGCCUCAUUGAAUAAAAACUUCCGCUCUCUAAUUCGGGGUGGGGAGCUGUACACACUGAGGCGGAAAAUGGAUAUUGUAGAACAUUGGGUUUACUUCUCUUGCAACCUCCUUGAAUGGGAGGCAUUUGAUCCCGAUCGCAGACGUUGGAUGCAUUUGCCUAGAAUGACGUCAAAUGAUUGUUUCAUGUGUUCUGACAAGGAGUCGUUGGCCGUUGGUACUGAACUUCUUGUUUUUGGAAAGGAAAUAACGUCCCAUGUUAUUUAUAGAUACAGCAUUUUGACCAACACGUGGUCAUCCGGCACUGAGAUGAAUACACCUAGAUGCUUGUUCGGUUCUGCUAGCCGUGGGGAAAUUGCAAUUCUAGCUGGUGGUUGCGAUCCACGUGGCAAUAUCUUGAACUCUGCUGAGCUGUAUAAUUCAGAAAGAGGAACUUGGCUGACUCUUCCAAGCAUGAAUAAACCUAGAAAAAUGUGUUCUGGGGUAUUUAUGGAUGGGAAGUUUUAUGUCAUUGGUGGGAUAGGAGUGGGCGAUCCAAAGCAACUAACAGGCGGAGAGGUGUACGAUUUGGAGAAGAGGACCUGGACUGAGAUACCAAACAUGUUCCCUGGACGAAAUGGAGGAGCUGGGGCAGCUGAGGCUCCUGCUGCAGCUGAGGCACCUCCUCUGCUUGCAGUUGUAAAUAACAUAUUGUAUGCUGCAGAUUAUGCAGAAAAGGAGGUGAGGAGAUACGAUAAGGAGAAGAACGUGUGGGUGGCUGUUGGGAGAUUACCUGAGCGGGCUGUCUCGAUGAAUGGUUGGGGAUUAGCAUUUAGGGCAUGUGGAGAUCGGUUAAUUGUGAUUGGUGGACCUAGGGCAUUAGGAGGAGGGACAAUUGAACUUAAUUCUUGGGUCCCUGAUGGAAGCUCACCACAAUGGGACUUACUUGCCAGAAAACCGUCUGGCAGCUUUGUGUAUAAUUGUGCGGUGAUGGGAUGCUAAGAUGUCCAGUUUCAGUGACACCAUGUGUGCUGUGUGGAAUCCUGGGUGGAAUUUGCAAUCUUCGCUUUUCAAGGAGAUGGGGUUCCGGCUCGUGGAGAACAUGGUCUUGAAAUUAAUGGCCUAUCAGAGAGCAACUACAUGGCGAAAUUUACUGUCAAUAUGUUCUGCCUCAGAUCAAGUUAGAUAGUUUUUCAACCACAGGUGGGACAUAUUCUGGAGUGAGGAGGUGGCUCGAUUCUACGAAUGUACACGAAAGGAGGGGUGUUUUGAAAUCAUAAAUUUGGAAACACAAAAUGAGUAAGAGUAAUUCAAAUACAUUGCUGAUGUAGCAACCGCUUGUGCAUUGAAAGAGAUGAUGAGGCUUACUUGAAUGUGUCCAGAAAAGCUGUGGUAAGUGACUUUUGUUGUUAUUGAUCCAUACGUCAUAGGCAAUGGCAUUGACAGAUACAUGUAUGUUUCUUAGACAUGUUUUCUUCAGCUAUGACAGUUGUUGCUCCUGAAAAGCUGUAUGUAUGAAACCUGGUUUUUGUGACUUGGGGGAAUGGCUUUCGUGACUGGUUUUUGUUGGUAUUUACAGGGGUUUCUUUUUUCCUGUGAUUACCGACGAAAAAGUGAGAUUCAGCACUCUAUUUGUCCCUGUCUGUUUGUUUAGGAAGUAAAGGUGAAAUACCAUAUCUGUAAUCUCAGCUGUUCCUCUGGAUAUAAUUGAAUUGAUCCUUUUAGUCCCGGAUCAGUGGUUUGAGAUUUUUUAUUUUUUAAAUUUUUUGCCUUAUUUAUAGAAUUUCCAGCCAAUUUUUAUCAGAACAUGAAAUUGGAUAUUUUCUUAACUUAGACAGUUCUAAUUCUUAAAUUCUGUUCUAGUCUCCCCAGAUUUUCUAUUGCUCUUCUUGAGAGAGAGAGAGAGAGAGAGAGAGAGAGAGAGAGACAGACAGACAGACAGCCAGUGAAAGUUUCUGAACAGAAGUAAGUAUAUAGAAAAACAGAGAGGCACAAAGAAAUUAUUUUUUACAAUAUGUGAAGUCUGCAAUCAUUCAGCAGACCUGUAUUCUUUUUUGGGUUAUUUUUAAGUCUCAAAAAAUCUAGUACUUAGAUAUCAUUCAGAAGACAUUGAUUAGGCCUGUAAAUAUUCUCUCUUUUUCUUGUAUUUUUUAAUUGGGUUGUUUUUGUUUACCUUUUUAUCAGACAGUUACAGGUUUUACAGGCCACAUGGUCAUAUUCUUUUACUGUACUACGUUACCGCCGAAAAAGCAUAAAAAUUCCAUGUAGGCUGCCUGGCUCUCUGCAAGACGGUACUUUUAGCUGCAGAAGAAAAAAAAUGAAAAAAAAAAUCUUUGUUGGAGGCAAUCCACCAGAAAAUAAAAGAUAAUAAAAGUACAAAAAAAUGUACCUUAAUGUGGAAACGGAUUCUGACUGAGCUGCUGGGUUUGUGCCAGGGACCCCACGAGGACCUCUGUUUUCAGUGCUCACGUGGACAGCGCGUUUGCCUCAUUAAACUCACUGCCUGCUCUGUUUUCCACCUAUCAAAAUGCAGAGGAAAAGAAGAAGAAGAUGAUGAUGAUGAAAGAAGACGACAGACUUCAAUUCAUUUUUGUACUUACUGGCAUCUGCUUUUACUGCUUUCUUUUUCUUUUUCCUUUUCUUUUUUCCUUGUGAGGCUGUGCAUGUGGAGUUUGGUAAAUUUACCAUCGGUAAUAAAAUGGCUGUUUCUUUCUUUCUUUC